UACGGGGGGAGCAAGCGUUGUUCGGAUUUACUGGGCGUAAAGGGCGCGUAGGCGGCCACCGCAAGUCGGUUGUGAAAUCUCCGGGCUUAACCCGGAAAGGUCAAUCGAUACUGCGGGGCUAGAGUGCAGAAGGGGCAACUGGAAUUCUCGGUGUAGCGGUGAAAUGCGUAGAUAUCGAGAGGAACACCUGCGGCGAAGGCGGGUUGCUGGGCUGACACUGACGCUGAAGCGCAAAAGCUAGGGGAGCGAACGGG
rnacentral:rRNA from 1 species